AGAGUUUUUUCCUGGCUCAGGAUGAACGCUGGCGGCAUGCCUAAUACAUGCAAGUCGAACGAGAGGAAGGAAAGCUUGCUUUUCUGAAUCUAGUGGCGAACGGGUGAGUAACACGUAGGUAACCUGCCCAUGUGCCCGGGAUAACCUCUGGAAACGGAUGCUAAAACCGGAUAGGUAGCAGACAAGCAUUUGACUGCUAUUAAAGUGGCUAAGGCCAUGAACAUGGAUGGACCUGCGGUGCAUUAGCUAGUUGGUGAGGUAACGGCCCACCAAGGCGACGAUGCAUAGCCGGCCUGAGAGGGCGGACGGCCACAUUGGGACUGAGACACGGCCCAAACUCCUACGGGAGGCAGCAGUAGGGAAUUUUCGUCAAUGGGGGGAACCCUGAACGAGCAAUGCCGCGUGAGUGAAGAAGGUCUUCGGAUCGUAAAGCUCUGUUGUAAGAGAAAAACGACAUUCAUAGGGAAUGAUGAGUGAGUGAUGGUAUCUUACCAGAAAGUCACGGCUAACUACGUGCCAGCAGCCGCGGUAAUACGUAGGUGGCGAGCGUUAUCCGGAAUGAUUGGGCGUAAAGGGUGCGUAGGUGGCAGAACAAGUCUGGAGUAAAAGGUAUGGGCUCAACCCGUACUGGCUCUGGAAACUGUUCAGCUAGAGAACAGAAGAGGACGGCGGAACUCCAUGUGUAGCGGUAAAAUGCGUAGAUAUAUGGAAGAACACCGGUGGCGAAGGCGGCCGUCUGGUCUGUUGCUGACACUGAAGCACGAAAGCGUGGGGAGCAAAUAGGAUUAGAUACCCUAGUAGUCCACGCCGUAAACG
rnacentral:rRNA from 1 species